rnacentral:tRNA from 2 species
GCGGAUGUGGCGAAAUUGGUAGACGCACUGCUUUCAGGUGGCAGCGCCUUCGGGUGUGAAAGUUCGAAUCUUUUCAUCCGCACAA